CCAGUAAGUACCUCACUGCACAGAAUGAAGACAUAAGGCGAUAGGGGGUCUCCUUGGCGAAUGCCUCUCUGGGGUGUGACUAAGCCCAGCGCUUGUCCAUUAAUCAGUGCAGGGUUUCAUGUGUGAUAAGCACAUUGUCUGAUAUAGCUCUUUGGGGGACGAAGGCUGAUUGAUUCUCAGAUAUGCACGACGAGAGGAUUGGUUGCAGUCUUUUGGUUUCCAGUGAUGAAGAAAGAUUGGACCUCGGCAACUAUUUCAUCACUCACUGUACUCCAGUUUGAUUGGAAAAAACAAGCUGAGAAGC